rnacentral:rRNA from 1 species
CCUACGGGCGGCUGCAGUGGGGAAUAUUGGACAAUGGGGGGAACCCUGAUCCAGCCAUGCCGCGUGUGUGAAGAAGGCCCUCGGGUUGUAAAGCACUUUCAGUGAGGAAGAACGCCUGGUGGUUAAUACCCAUCAGGAAAGACAUCACUCACAGAAGAAGCACCGGCUAACUCCGUGCCAGCAGCCGCGGUAAUACGGAGGGUGCGAGCGUUAAUCGGAAUUACUGGGCGUAAAGCGCGCGUAGGUGGCUUGAUAAGCCGGUUGUGAAAGCCCCGGGCUUAACCUGGGAACGGCAUCCGGAACUGUCAAGCUAGAGUGCAGGAGAGGAAGGUAGAAUUCCCGGUGUAGCGGUGAAAUGCGUAGAGAUCGGGAGGAAUACCAGUGGCGAAGGCGGCCUUCUGGACUGACACUGACACUGAGGUGCGAAAGCGUGGGUAGCAAACAGGAUUAGAUACCCCUGUAGUC